rnacentral:rRNA from 1 species
UACAGAGGGUGCGAGCGUUAAUCGGAAUUACUGGGCGUAAAGCGUGCGUAGACGGUUUCGUAAGUCGGGUGUGAAAGCCCCGGGCUCAACCUGGGAAUUGCAUUCGAGACUGCGUAGCUAGGGUGCGGAAGAGGGAAGCGGAAUUUCCGGUGUAGCGGUGAAAUGCGUAGAUAUCGGAAGGAACAUCAGUGGCGAAAGCGGCUUCCUGGUCCAGCACCGACGUCAGGCACGAAAGCGUGGGGAGCAAACAGG